rnacentral:rRNA from 1 species
UACGUAGGGGGCGAGCGUUGUCCGGAUUUAUUGGGCGUAAAGAGCUCGUAGGCGGUUUGGUAAGUCGGGUGUGAAAUCUCCACGCUCAACGUGGAGGGGCCACUCGAUACUGCCAUGACUCGAGUCCGGUAGAGGAGUGUGGAAUUCCCGGUGUAGCGGUGAAAUGCGCAGAUAUCGGGAGGAACACCCGUAGCGAAGGCGGCACUCUGGGCCGGAACUGACGCUGAGAUGCGAAAGUGUGGGGAGCAAACGGG